ensembl:rRNA 5S_rRNA 5S ribosomal RNA
CUUUACGGCCAUACCACCCUGAAUACGCCCGAUCUCAUUCAAUCUCGGAAGCUACGCAGCUUUGGGCCUGGUUAGUACUUGGCUGGGAGAGCGCCUGGGAAUACCAGGUGCUGUAAGCU